rnacentral:rRNA from 1 species
UACGGAGGGAGCUAGCGUUGUUCGGAAUUACUGGGCGUAAAGCGCGCGUAGGCGGCUUUGUAAGUUAGAGGUGAAAGCCCGGGGCUCAACUCCGGAACUGCCUUUAAGACUGCAUCGCUUGAAUCCGGGAGAGGUGAGUGGAAUUCCGAGUGUAGAGGUGAAAUUCGUAGAUAUUCGGAAGAACACCAGUGGCGAAAGGCGGCUCACUGGACCGGGUAUUGACGCUGAGGUGCGAAAGCGUGGGGAGCAAAACAGG